UUUUGUUAGAAGCAAACUGCUCAACUGUCUCUCUGUUCCAGAAGACACGUGAGCUUUCUGACACAACCCAGAGCCUGAAUGCAUCUGAAAGAAGGAUGUAUACCUUGUGAAAGGAUGGAAGAUGAGAGGCUUAACAUACCUAAUUUCUGUUGCUUCCAGUUUUAAGUGCCUGAUGUGAAAGAAAGGGCAGACUGGGGGCAUAGGUUUUGGUGUCCUUUUCUGCUUUCCACCUGAAGCCUGCCUGUAUCCAUCACCUCUUAACACUGCCCUCACUUUUUGUGAGCUGAAAGCUGCAGAAAAUUGAACAGCAGGUUUCUGAGGCAAGAUGCCUAAAAGCACUGUGCUUGAAAUUGGUAUCCUCAGGCAGCCUGGCAGUGGGGAUGGGCAGGAGUGGUAUGUUCACGACAAUCUCUUCAGAGCUGAAGGUAGCUAAGCAAGACCGCUGAGAUCAGUAGCAGUCUCAGGUGUGGAGAACAGACACUUAGUCUUGGCCAGCAAAUAGUCUACUGAGCUGACUGGCACUGGCAGGUUCCUUAUGCUAAGGGAGAAGUCCCCUGAAAGCCACUGAGCAGCUCUGAUCAUGCAGGCUAGCUCAGUGCAUGCACUACUGCAAUUUUCACUACAAAAGCCUAAAAGGUCUGUCCCAGAGAAAAAGGACACUACAGUGUCAUCUCGGUUAUCCUGGGAGGGACACAUGAAGAAAUGGGCUUUUUCAGACAGGAUCUUUCCUGACUGCGUUUUACUGGCACCAAACUACACCAACCCAGGCUCAAAGGCACUGCUUUCUCCAGCAUCAUUCACAUCUCCUCCAUCCUGCUGAUUUUAGAGGCAGCUGCUCACAGAGAUACCAGCAUGUGCUUCUCUUGCAGCUCUUAGUAUUUGGCACACCCCCAUCAGCCAAUCUAAGAGCAGACCCUCAGUAUAAGCCCUGAGAACGAAGAACUUACUUGCUGUAUGUAGUUAAGCCUCAUACCGCUUAUUUUGGGGGAAGUUGUGUAACCUCUUCUUGCUUUCCUGUCACAAAAUGGAACUGAAUAUUUCACUGAGACACACAAUACAUCAGGUCUGCAAUCUGUCAAGGGGCUUACUAAUAAAAUGUUAAGCCCUCCCUGGUUUAAGAAUACUAUAGUGGUUGAGUAAGACAGCAGGAUGUUUCUUGCUGCUUAACUACAGAGGCAGACUUGCUAUCGCAAAGCCAACAACUGGAAGAGUGGUUUCUUCCUUAAGCAGUGUUUGUCUGUAAGGAGCAGGCUCAUGCCAUGUCCUAGAGAGAGGGUGGCAGUGGGUAAGAUAACCACUGGCUCCUUGUAAAGAAUAUUUAGGUCUUCUAAAAAGAAGAAAUCCUAAUCCCCAACCUGGGAAGAACACAGCUGGCAACUGAGCAGUUGGCAACUGAGCCCUGGGAAGGGUUGUUUCAGGUGUGGACAGGUUCCUUGGAUAAAGCCAGGCCUGGACCUCAUCUGACCUGACUGGAGAGGUCACUCAGCUGCUGCAAUUCUAUUCCCUUUUCUCUUUUUAAAGAAAUAUAUUAUUAAAUGCUACAGUGAACCAAGCUGUACAGCUGGUAUUUUCUGCUCACUGACAAACAAUGAGUAUGUCUGGAUCUGAAAUUCGGACAAUGUCAGCUGAGUCACAGCAAGCUUGCACAGCCUCCCAAUUCCUCAGCAAAUGCCAGUUAUGCCUCCCUUAGACCAACCUCACCUAUUGCAGAUCAAGUCUUCCAAGUUAUCUUCUGUUUGCCACAGGUCAAGGAGGAGCAUGCAGUCUGAUGUGGCAGAUGUAAGGCAACCCACUUUCCUGGUGGAGAACUGUGAUUUUGUUAUAUUAAAUGCAGUAAGUACGUGUUACUUGGAAGUGAUAGAAACAGAUAGUGUCUCCUGGAGAGACCUGUAGAAAGGGCCUGAGCUGAUGAACAAGGCAAAUAAUUAGAUACCCGAACUAUUUGCUAUAUAAUGCAAGGGAGCACAAGCCCAUGUGAACACCUUCUGUUUCCAGUUCUUGCUCUCUUCUCUGAUUGACCCUACCACUCCUCCUUCUGCCCCUAAGCACUAGCUCACACAAAUCUUCUCCAGCUGUCUUCUAUUCCGAUGCUACAGAUGUGAGCAGUACUGCAGGGGACUUGAACUGACUUCCAAAUCCCCAGUCUGCUGCAGAUUUAUUUUUGAAUGCAGAGAUGAACAGUUCUGCACACUCCAUGUUAUAAUGACACUACCCAGCUGUAUCCGAAUGUUAAACAGCUUAACUUCAAUCGUCCUUAAAAAAGUGGCAGAGAAAGUCAACAAUUGCUUCUUGUUCAUUCUCUUCCUUCUCUCCUCAGGGGCACGUCUGCACGGAGUCCUGCAGCUCCAUCCAGUUACCAUAGCGAUCCCAGGAUCCUACAGGAUGUUCUUUAAUGAUGAAAUAUUCCUCCCACUGCUCAACAUUAUCUUCUAGCAAUUAGUAUACUUCUGAGAUUCUAUUUCAUCUCAAGAAACCAAACUGCUUCAUACAGCAAAUGGUUGUUAUUGUGCCCAGUGUGACUGAUGAACCCACAUACACAAUUUGAAAUUAUUUCCAUUUGUAUUAACAUAAAUGGGUUCAGAUUAAUUCUUAUCCUAGGUACAAAGCUUCUUACGAAAGCUUCUUACCCAAUUGGAAAUUCAGGUCAUAUACUCAGAAUUAAGCUAAUAAAAACUUAGAGCAAAUGAGGAUUUCUGUUAUUUUAUGAACCUUAGCAUUAUACUAACAACACAAGUGACUUUCAUGAGGAUUAUAAUUGAGUGCAUUACGAUUUAAAUCUAUGAAUUUCAUAGCAUUGGCUGAAGGUAGCAUUAAUGCUAAAUAGGAUUACUUUUUCUGCUUUCACAGAUAAACAAUUAAAACAUAAGCCACAACCAAACGAGACAACUCUAACACCAUUAUUAAUGACGACAAGCCAGUUUAUUUCUGUUAAUAAAUCCUCCUUCUUUACAGAAACAGAAAUCAAAACCUGAUUUUUAAGACCUGUACUGUAAGGAUAUUAAGUGUCAAUAACUGACCUGCUAUCAGCUCCACACAGUGCAACUUUACUCCAGGAAUUGUCCUAUUCCAUUGAGGAUCUACGAUCACUUUAAGAUAAAUAUUUGAAAGCAAAA